rnacentral:tRNA from 2 species
UCCUGGCUAGCUCAGUUGGUAGAGUGCUCCACUGGAAAUGGAGAGGAAACUGGUUCCAUACCAGGACCAGGCG